UCAGUGGAUCAUAGGUAGCUGAUGAGACUGUCGUUGGAAUUACUGCUCUGAAUUGUGAAGGCAGGUGUGUGAAGCGUGAAAAAUCUUCUUGGAUGACUCCGAUACAGCCCACCAGCAAGAUCCGUCCAGGGCGGGGCCUGACCCUGAGGGGGAGGAAGGAGAUGGAGGCUUGAAGGAUGGCAAGGACACAGUGGAGGAAAGUACGGCUAUAAGGUGAAGAUUAAUCCAAGAUGUAAAGCAGGCUGAGAGAGGCUUGGGCAAGCAAGACAAAAUUGUUAGAAGGUCACGAAAAACAAGCAAAGACUGGGAAAUGGACUCAGAAUGGACUCAGAUGACAGGACAACUAAAUGCAAUAUGGGAGCCUGAAUCGGAUCCUGGAACAGAGAGAAAGGACAUUAGUGGAAAAACUGGUAAACCCUAAUAA